ensembl:lncRNA
AGAAACCGUUCAACAGUUUCUCACCGUGUCAUCAGACUGAGGGAAAACCCUUAGGAUCCUCACAGGGAGGCAAGAGGAGGUCUAAAGGUCUCCAUCAGUCCUGGUCCCUCUAGACCAGACGAGCCGAAGCAGGUAUGACACCUUCUUUUGUGCAUUUUGCACACUAUCGAUAUUAUGAGUAAAUACCUUGUUAUUAAGCAGUCUCACUAGUAUACUGGUCUAAGGCAGUCUGCACUGGUCUGAGGUAGUAUACUGGUCUAAGGAAGUCUGCACUGGUCUGAGGCAGUCUGCACUGGUCUAAGGCAGUCUGCACUGGUCUGAGGCAGUACUGUACUGGUUUAGUCCUUGUGGUGCUGGCUUUUCUUCCUUGGAGGUUUUUGUAGGAGGUGUCUUCACCGUGUCUACUUGGUAUCCCACAGUGACUGAAUUUCCACAUAGAGCUGAACAGAAACCUCCAGUUGGCUGUAGAGUCUCUGGUCCCAGUCAGGACACAUUGAAAAUCAGAAGGGGGACCCACCCAACCCCCAGGUGAGUCCCAGGUGAGUCCCAGGUGAGUCCCAGGUGAGUCCCAGGUGAGUCCUUGGCGGCUCUUCACCUGAAAUCACUCACUCUUCUUCACUCUCACUGAAUGCUGCGUCUGUGCUGCUGACGCUGUGUAAUAUUCUCACAUAAAUGUGAAGAUCUGCCGGUGUUCGUUCCUCUGAGCUCUAAAGACUCGAGGCCUCACGUCUUGUGGGUUUCUUACGUUUUCCAUCGUUUCUGAGGACAUCUGAGCUCUGAGGUUUUUGUGCAAGCCUGUAACACUGUGUUGUUGUUCGGGAAUCCGAUCCGUCUGACUGUCACUCCUAAAGGUAAGAAACACACUUUAUUCUUAGUAGUUCCAUCUACAGCUUGUGUGCAUCAGUUGAGACAAUCAAAUCCGUUGUUUAAAAGCUCAUGAACGAUUUAUUUUAAGCUGUUUUAAAUAUCUGCCUUUUAACUCUGACAUGUGUCAGAGUCAAAAGUUAAGAGUUCAUGUAUACGUGUGAUAUAUAUAUAUAUAUAUAU